rnacentral:rRNA from 1 species
GAUGAACGCUGGCGGCGUGCCUAAUACAUGCAAGUCGAGCGAACUUUUGGGAGCUUGCUCCCAAAAGUUAGCGGCGGACGGGUGAGUAACACGUGGGUAACCUGCCUGUAAGACUGGGAUAACUUCGGGAAACCGGAGCUAAUACCGGAUAACAUUGAAGACCACAUGUCCUUCAAUUAAAAGGUGGCUUUUAGCUACCACUUACAGAUGGACCCGCGGCGCAUUAGCUAGUUGGUGAGGUAACGGCUCACCAAGGCGACGAUGCGUAGCCGACCUGAGAGGGUGAUCGGCCACACUGGGACUGAGACACGGCCCAGACUCCUACGGGAGGCAGCAGUAGGGAAUCUUCCGCAAGAGACGAAAGUCUGACGGAGCAACGCCGCGUGAGCGAAGAAGGCCUUCGGGUCGUAAAGCUCUGUUGUUAGGGAAGAACAAGUAUCGUUCGAAUAGGGCGGUACCUUGACGGUACCUAACCAGAAAGCCACGGCUAACUACGUG